rnacentral:rRNA from 1 species
CAGUCGCCGCGGUAAUACGGAGGGAGCUAGCGUUGUUCGGAAUUACUGGGCGUAAAGCGCGCGUAGGCGGUUACUCAAGUCAGAGGUGAAAGCCCGGGGCUCAACCCCGGAACUGCCUUUGAAACUAGGUGACUAGAAUCUUGGAGAGGUCAGUGGAAUUCCGAGUGUAGAGGUGAAAUUCGUAGAUAUUCGGAAGAACACCAGUGGCGAAGGCGACUGACUGGACAAGUAUUGACGCUGAGGUGCGAAAGCGUGGGGAGCAAACAGGAUUAGAUACCCCCGUAGUCCCUGUCUCUUAUAC